AAACCACACUUGGGGCUGCGUGCAGUGGUUUAUAUCUGUAAUCCUAGCACUUAGGAAGGCCUAGGUGGGAGGAUUGCUUUAGAUCAGGAGUUUGAGACCAGCCUGGGCAAAAUAGGGAGACGUUAUCUCUACAAAAAAGUAAAAUAGGCAUGGAGGUGCACAACUGUGGCCCUAGCUACUAAGGAGGAUGAAGUGGGAGGAUCGCUUGAACCCAGAAGUUAAAGGUUGCAGUGAGCUAUGAUUGUGCCACUGCACUCUAGUCUGGGCAACAGAGCAAGAACCUGUAUCUAAUAAAUAAAUAAUAAACAAACAAACAAACCACAUUUGGGCUCUGUGUCCCUGGGUCUUUAUAGACACAAAGUAUAGCCUUGGGAAACAUGAGUGGCCUUUAUUUAUUUUUGUGAAACUCUCCCAGUAAUUCUUUUUAUAAGGCUCUUCCGUCACCUCUUUUAAGACUAACUGGAGCGGUAACCCCUCCUUAGGCUCAGAGAUGACAUUCUCUCCAUUCAGCCAGCUUGUCCUCUGCCCUCAUGGGACACAUCGCUCUUCUUGAGCUGAUGGGAGUCUGAGAAACAAUCUUAUACACCAAAGAUAACCCUCCAUUCCUCUAUGGGCAGAAAAACAGAUCGCAAUUAGAUGAGCCAGGGACCUUAAUAAAUGCAGAUGUCCAUUUAAAUAAACCAGCAACUCUUGGGAUGUAAACAGAAACAGAAACAUACUUCAUAAUUAGAGAUGAAUGAUGAGCAAAUGAGUCAGUAGAGGAUGGAUUAAAGCAAUAGUCUAUAGCAAUAAUCAGAAAGUCAGAGCCCAAAUCUCAGAUCUCUCAGUAAUUGUUAAUUUUUGUUAGAUUAUUUAGUGUUUCUGAGUUUCAGCUUCUACAUCUGUACAAAGAAUCUGAUGAUACUUAUUUGUGUGCAUGCACAAAGCUAGGUACAUUGUAGCAUUCAAAUGUUCAUCUUAAGAAACAAAAUGAAGGGUGAAGAAAAAGAGCAAACUUUGUGCAUCUAAUACCUGGUACAGUGGAGUCAACUAGUGCUUUGGGGCAUAUCACACUGGUGGUCUAAUUCCAGCUCUGCCAUCUACUGGCUGUGUGACCUUGGACUUGUCACUGACCCAUAUUCAACCUCAGUUUCUUAUUUGGAAACCUAAAGUAUUAAUGGCUGCUUGAUAUCCAAAGGAGACAGAUGAUAGGCAUCAAGUCAGUAGCUACCAAGGAUUAUUAUUUUCCACAUAAGGUACUUUUCUAAAUUCAUCCUGAUUAAUACUAUAAUAUAAUCUCAUCAUCAACCCUCUAAAGCAGGAAUUAUUAUCCCCAUUUCACAGGCCAAGAAACUGAGAGAUUUAAAACUAGACAGUGUCUGGACUGUUUCUGUGGUCUAAUUGUUUCAUCAUGCCUUAACUGAAGUAGAAGACCUGUUGACCCAUGCUGACUACUAGAGCUCCUGGCUAAGGUUUCCUUUGCUUUCCUUUGUUUGUUUGUUUGUUUUUGAGAUAGGGUCUCACUCUGUCACCUUAGCUAAUGUGAAGUAUCGCAAUCACAGCUCACUACAGCCUUGAAUUCCUGGGCUCUAAUGGUCCUCUUGCCUUAGCCUCUAGAAUAGCUGCUACAAUGCAGGUACAUGCCACCAUACAUGGCUAAUUUUUUAUUUUUUGUAGAGACUGGAGUCUUGCCAUGUUGCCCAGGCUGGUAUCAAAUUCAUGGCCUCGAGCUAUCCUCCUGCACUAGCCUUCCAUAGCCCUGAAAUUACAGGUGUGGGCCCCCAUGACCAGCCUAAGGUUCUCUCUGAUAAGUGCUAUUUCCUCCGCAGCCUUCCCAAAGCUUUGGGGGGUACACACUUUCUUUGCCUACCGUUUUCUCCUCUAGUGUGUGCAUUGACUGAAAUCACCCACUAGAUGGUGCUGAUAUACUAACUUUGGUUUGCUUUGGCAUCUACCCGGUGAAUUAAAAAUUUACUUUAUACAUCAACAAACCAAAAUCUCUACAUAAAUCUCAGCUUGUAAGAAUCAUAUACUUGUAAAGAUUUUUUUUUUUAAAUUCAGGGUGAACUCUGGAGGCUUAGUUAUCUUGCUUAAAAAUGCAGACCAGCCUUCUAUAAAUUUACCAGCUGAGGCUCUUCUAUGGCCAUGAGCAAUCUCAACACUGUGUGUGUAUCUGCUCCAGGGUGAGAUGGAAAUUAUUAGCGGCUUUUUCUCUGAGUGUAUAGCUCAAUGGGCUUGUGAGAGCCCACCAGCUCUCCAUAGCUUCUGCUUACUGCUCUGUGAAAGGAGACGCAGAAUACAGACUCGGCUCACAGCUCAUGUGAGGAUAGAACAGGGUAUUCUAGUAGAUCUGAUUACUCUCUGAUUUCCACUUCUUUCUCUUAUUGCCUGUCACAAAUGUCUAUAAAAUCAUCAUUUUGGAAAAGUAUCACACCCCUUUAUAACAACAAUAAUAACCAACCUCUAUAUAGCCUUUUGUGGUUUACAAAGCAUGUCUCUCUCAAAUAUUUAAUAUAUCUAAAUUAACAGUCAGUGUUAUUUACUCCAUUUUACAGAGGAGAAAUUAAGGCUCAAGGGAGUAAGUAGAUUCCUAAGGAUCUACAAACUAUUUAAUUACAGUGCCAGAACUUGAACCCAAGCUUUCUGAUUACAAGUAUCUGGCUAAUGUCACUACACAAGAUAAAAACCUUUAUUACAUCUAAGGAAUACACUUAUAAUGACAACUCAUAUCCUGCUACUUCUUUUCUGAAUACCUCUGAAUUUCACCUUACUUCAAAAUUCAGAGUCCCUGGAGGGAGAAAACAACCCUCUCUCCCCACUUUUCUUGUUUCCUCCCUCCUGUCUUCCAUUCUAGUGCCCAACCCAGCAAUAAAUGUUGUGGGAGGCAACAGAGAAGACACUGUCUGUGUUCCAUGUAGCUACAGAACACCAAAGCUGGAAGGGAUUAUUGUGAUUAUCUCAUCUAACCACCCCUUUUCCAUUUAAGGAAAUCAAGCCAGGAAGGACAAGAAAUAUUCCUAUAUGUGACGCCAUGGGAUUGUCUCAAAUGACCUACUUUUAAUUGCAGUGAAUCUAUACCUUGGUAUACAUUAGUUUAGAAACUGUGUUCAUGCCAACUGCAUUUCCUUUAAAAGAACAUCUAGUUUAAGUUUUUCACUCAUGCAGCAUCCCCUCUUCCCUCUGACCCCCAACAUACAUACACAAUAAUCUUGGGAUCUUCCAACUUUGUCUUAUGAAAUCUUAUCAAAGUUGAAAUCUUCAUGUCACAACUUUACUAUUUUAGGGUCUAAGGCAAAGCAAAUUCAACGAAAUCUGAGCUGUAAUUGGCCUUUUUAUUCUUUAUUUGCCUCAUACCUCCUGUUUGUCUUGUAGAUGCUUCUGCUAUUGAAAUAAUCUCAAUGUAUUACAGCUGCCUUUCUCCUUACCUGCUUCUCUCAGGGAGCUGAAUAGCCUUUGGGAAAAGAACUGAAUCUUAGAAAUCUUUGUAACUCCAGAGUCUACUCUAGUUUUUGGCAAAGAGUACAUGAUCAAUAAUUAAUUGCUAAAUUAAAUUACAGUGCAUUAAAUUGGACCUCCACAUUAAGAACCACCUCUCUGGGCAUGUAUCAUCAGGAUUUUAAAAUCCAGAUGGAUUUAGGAAAAAAGCACCUAUUAAUAGAUAUUGAAGGUUGAAGAUCUAUUAAGAUAUUUAAGGUUUAACAAACACUUUUCUAAUUCUGCCCUCCAGGUCCCACUGGUUAGAUGAGGGUAUUUGAAUUAAGGAUUAAACCACACAGAAUCUUCUAAUUUAGUAAUACUGUUUGAGCUCCUCCCAUGUGAAAAAGUAAGCAAUCAGGUGUUCUGAAGGCCACAGAAUUCUUAUAGGCAGCAACAAAUCAGGGAACACCACCUGGAAGAGGAGAAGUAGAACCAGGCUUUAAGAGGCUGAAUUUGGAGAGGCAUAGAGGAGUCCCUCCAACAAAAAGAGGGUUGCAAGGUUUAGGAUUUGCCAUGAUAUGAAAGCCUGUCUAGUCCUCUGGCUUGGUGGACUUAUAACUCCAUCAUUUUUACAGGUAGAAGGGGCUUUAAGGUCUUCUAGUUCAACCUUCCAUUACACAUGUGGGAAGACUGAGGCCAGAGCAGGGAGGUAACUUGGCCACUGUUCCCCAGCAAGUGAGCGACAGCACAGGGAUGAGAGCCCAGGUCUGACUUACAGCCCUGUGCUCUUUUCACCACAUUUCUUGAAUAAUCCACUGUGCACCUGGCGAUGCUUUUCUUUCAGAAUCCAGCCACGACUUCGUUUUCUCUGCAUGGCAGGCAGCCAAGCGCCUUGAACUUCUCCAUGUUACCAUUUUGCCCUCUGCAGAAUGGGAUAUUAAAGUAUUCACUUGGGGGAGGGGUCAUGGGGUUUCGUCAAUAAAUGUUUGUGAAUUGCUCUGAGCUAUUUAUGCCAGAGGGAUUCCAGAAGUGAAAGACCCUGGUGGCCGUGGUGGUUGUAUCUGAGCCUUUUUUGAGGUCUUCCCUCUACUCUGCAGAAUUAAAGAGAUGGUUUAAGUGAUAAACUAUUCCUUAUGAGCUGUAUUUGUGUUGAAAGCACAGCAUGAGUUCCCAGCACGCUUCCUCUAGCACAACCACAGCUAUGCACCAAUCCUCCUGGGUUCAGAGAUGGAACUUGGGUUAAAUGCAUGGAAUUUAUUCUUAGUCCUUUUCUUAAUUACGACUUUUUAUUUCUCUGGUGUUCUCUAGGGGAGGGGUUAGAGAAGAGAGGAAAAGGAAGAAAGAAAGGGGGCAGGGAAAUAUAGAUUCAAUGCUUUUGUUUUGUUUCUGGGCUGCUUGCUAUCAGCAAAGUAGAGAGAUUUAACGGAUCUUGCCGAGAAUGCAAGCCUCAUUCCAAGGAAGCCAGAGCUCAGAAGACAUGGAACAAAUACAAUGAAAACAUAACUUGAGGUCGGAAAAUGUCCCCUGAAUAUUUAUGUCAAUGUCCUACCUUAGUGAAUAUUACUUAAUACUGUGGCUCCUUUAAAGCAUUUAGCACAUUUGUACCAUGAAGAUACUGAGGCUGCCAUCAUGCUCUGUUAUUCUAAGAGAAAGAUCAACAGCAACAACAACAAUAAUAAUUUAAAAAGCAGAGGAAGAAAGUAAUCCAAGAAGACAGACGCAGAGCCUCUAAGAUCAUGAAGGAUGAUUAAAAGAACAAGUUGGGGAUGAAAAUGGGGAAUCAGAAAGCUUAUCAUCAGGUUAGUUUUGGAAGGUCAUCUGUGGCCUGGGCGGUGCCCCAUUAAGACUAGAUCAAAAGCAGGACAGUGAUGCAAUCGGCUGUUUGUAUACAGAUGCUGGCCUCCAAAUCCCCACAUGGGAACAUCUGCUGGGGACAACCACUUAACAAAUAAGCAGGCAAUUAGGUAGCAGAUCCAUCUGUGCCAAGAGCAUGGGACCACCAGCGGCGGGGAGGCUGCAGCAGAGGGGAGAGCCAUGCUGGGAAGAAUGCUUUUGCGUUUGUGCAAGAGUCACACUAUCUAAGGCAGGAGAAAGGAGAGAGGACCAGGUGCAGAAGUCAGGAGAGAAGAUCAUUUUCUGCUUGUUCUGGGGCUAGCUCCAUGAUGCUCAGCCUUGACUAUACAUUAUAAUCACCUGGAGAUUUUAAAUAUACUGAUGCCCAGGUUGUACUUCAAAACAAUCUAAUCAGAGUUUCUAGGAAGGGG
rnacentral:lncRNA from 1 species